UGAGGAAUAUUGGUCAAUGGGCGGAAGCCUGAACCAGCCAAGUCGCGUGAGGGAAUAAGGCCCUACGGGUCGUAAACCUCUUUUGCCGGGGAGCAAGGGCGGGGACGUGUCCCGGCCCGGAGAGUACCCGGNGAAAAGCAUCGGCUAACUCCGUGCC
rnacentral:rRNA from 1 species